CAAUAGCGUAUAUUAAAGCUGUUGCGGUUAAAAAGCUCGUAGUUGGAUUUCUGUCAAGGACAACUGGUCCGCCCCUCGGGUGAGCACAUAGUUUGGUCUUGGCAUCUUGUUGGAAACUGUUGCUGCACUUGGUUGUGUGGCGCAGUGUCCAGCACUUUCACUUUGAGGAAAUUGGAGUGUUUCAAGCAGGCACAUGCCUUUGGACACAGUAGCAUGGAAUAAUUAGAUUGGGCUUCUGCUCCAACUUGUCGGUUUCUGGAGCUGAGGUGAGAAUUAAUGGGGAUUGUUGGGGGCAUCCGAAUUUAGCCGUCAGAGGUGAAAUUCUUGGAUCUGCUAAAGACGGACAACUGCGAAAGCGUUUGCCCAGGAUGUUUUCAUUGA
rnacentral:rRNA from 1 species